rnacentral:rRNA from 1 species
AUUGAACGCUGGCGGCAGGCCUAACACAUGCAAGUCGAGCGGAUGACGGGAGCUUGCUCCUGGAUUCAGCGGCGGACGGGUGAGUAAUGCCUAGGAAUCUGCCUGGUAGUGGGGGACAACGUUUCGAAAGGAACGCUAAUACCGCAUACGUCCUACGGGAGAAAGCAGGGGACCUUCGGGCCUUGCGCUGUCAGAUGAGCCUAGGUCGGAUUAGCUAGUUGGUGAGGUAAUGGCUCACCAAGGCGACGAUCCGUAACUGGUCUGAGAGGAUGAUCAGUCACACUGGAACUGAGACACGGUCCAGACUCCUACGGGAGGCAGCAGUGGGGAAUAUUGGACAAUGGGCGAAAGCCUGAUCCAGCCAUGCCGCGUGUGUGAAGAAGGUCCUCGGAUUGUAAAGCACUUUAAGUUGGGAGGAAGGGCAGUAAGCGAAUACCUUGCUGUUUUGACGUUACCGACAGAAUAAGCACCGGCUAACUCUGUGCCAGCAGCCGCGGUAAAAC